GUGAGACAGUUCGGUCCCUAUCUGCCGUGGGCGCUGGAGAAUUGAGGGGGGCUGCUCCUAGUACGAGAGGACCGGAGUGGACGCAUCACUGGUGUUCGGGUUGUCAUGCCAAUGGCACUGCCCGGUAGCUAAAUGCGGAAGAGAUAAGUGCUGAAAGCAUCUAAGCACGAAACUUGCCCCGAGAUGAGUUCUCCCUGAGACUUUAAGUCUCCUGAAGGAACGUUAAAGACGAUGACGUUGAUAGGCCGGGUGUGUAAGCGCAGCGAUGCGUUGAGCUAACCGGUACUAAUGAACCGUGAGGCUUAACCUUACAACGCCGAAG
rnacentral:rRNA from 1 species